rnacentral:rRNA from 1 species
CCUACGGGGGGCAGCAGUGAGGAAUAUUGGUCAAUGGCCGCAGGGCUGAACCAGCCAAGUCGCGUGAGGGAUGACGGUCCUAUGGAUUGUAAACCUCUUUUGUCAGGGAGCAAAGGGCGCCACGUGUGGCGCUUUGCGAGUACCUGAAGAAAAAGCAUCGGCUAACUCCGUGCCAGCAGCCGCGGUAAUACGGAGGAUGCGAGCGUUAUCCGGAUUUAUUGGGUUUUAAGGGUGCGCAGGCGGAAUGUCAAGUCAGCGGUAAAAUUUCGGGGCUCAACCCCGUCGUGCCGUUGAAACUGGCGUUCUUGAGUGAGCGAGAAGUAUGCGGAAUGCGUGGUGUAGCGGUGAAAUGCAGAGAUAUCACGCAGAACUCCGAUUGCGAAGGCAGCAUACCGGCGCUCAACUGACGCUCAUGCACGAAAGCGUGGGUAUCGAACAGGAUUAGAUACCCGAGUAGUC